rnacentral:rRNA from 1 species
AGGGAAUAUUGGACAAUGGGUGCGAGCCUGAUCCAGCCAUGCCGCGUGCAGGAAGACGGCCUUCUGGGUUGUAAACUGCUUUUGCCAGGGGAUAAAACGGCUCUGCGGAGCUAAUUGAAGGUACCUGGUGAAUAAGCCACGGCUAACUACGUGCCAGCAGCCGCGGUAAUACGUAGGUGGCAAGCGUUGUCCGGAUUUAUUGGGUUUAAAGGGUGCGUAGGUGGUUCCAUAAGUCAGUGGUGAAAUACGGCAGCUUAACUGUCGAGGUGCCAUUGAUACUGCGGAACUUGAGUACAGACGAGGUAGGCGGAAUUGACGGUGUAGCGGUGAAAUGCUUAGAUAUCGUCAAGAACACCGAUAGCGAAGGCAGCUUACUAGACUGUAACUGACACUGAGGCACGAAAGUGUGGGGAUCAAAC